rnacentral:lncRNA from 1 species
UAGGGUUUGCGUGAGAUGAAGUGUGUGAGUCAGAUUGAAUUUUCAGAGCUGCCUGGGGGUUGCUCUGAGUUCUCUGUCAGGUUUCUCUCCAGGUUUUGUCAAGGGUUUUGUUUCAAGGAAACCCAGAGUAUUUUGCUUCUCUUCCUUUUUCUGUCUGAUCUCCCUCUUUUAUAACCUGAUUUUCAUGGCUUUGUGGGCUCAAAUGAGAGAGGUC